rnacentral:rRNA from 1 species
GGGGAAUUUUGGACAAUGGGGGCAACCCUGAUCCAGCCAUGCCGCAUGAGUGAAGAAGGUCUUCGGGUUGUAUAGCUCUUUCGGACGGAAAGAAAACGGAUGGGUUAAUACCCUGUUCGGAUGACGGUACCGUCAUAAGAAGCACCGGCUAACUACGUGCCAGCAGCCGCGGUAAUACGUAGGGUGCGAGCGUUAAUCGGAAUUACUGGGCGUAAAGCGUGCGCAGGCGGUUGAUUAAGACAGGCGUGAAAUCCCCGGGCUUAACCUGGGGAGUGCGCUUGUGAGUGGUCGGCUAUAGUAGGGCAGGGGGGGGUGGAAUUCCACGUGUAGCAGUGAAAUGCGUAGAGAUGUGGAGGAACACCGAUGGCGAAGGCAGCCCCCUGGGCCGAUACUGACGCUCAUGCACGAAAGCGUGGAUAGCAAACA